AGCUGUUCCAGUGUGCACCAUGUCCUAAUCCUGAAGAUGAAGAAAUUUGGGGGCUGAAUCACAAUUCCUGCCUGUUUUUGUUGUGUCGUGAAGCUUAUUCUUUAAUGCAUUUCUUAACUCUUCAGGAAGAAGAAACUCUGUCCAGCAGCAAGCUGCUGAGCUCCCAAGAGCCUGCUCGUCAGGAACUUCAGAGUCCUGAAGACAGCUUGAGUGAGCCAUCGCAGGAGGAGCAAGACACUGAAAACCAAGAAGGCAGUACAGAGGAUUCUUCUAGACAGCUGUGUCUCUGUCCUGAGACAAGAACAUCCCUCUCUUCAGGAGCCUCUGAAGAAGACAAUGACUCUGACUUGAAAGAGAGCAGAAGAUUUUUGCAGGUAUGACAUCAGCAUCCCCCUACAUCUCAGAAGAUAGCAGCUGUCAUGCUCUGACAUGGUUUAGGGGUACCCACUGAUAGGGUUCAGAAGACUUUCUUCUCUUUAUCCUGAGCCUUUCCUGCCUCACCAUCACUGCCCCCUGCCCCAUACUUAGUUCAGUCCUCUAGCUUCCUGGUGGAAGGGCUUUAUUCUCAAAGCACCCAAAUGAGAAAGAGCUGCGGGAUGCCUCCGGGGUGUCUCCACCAACACAUCCUGCGCCCACAGGCUCCGGAGCCUCAUUUAAUCUCUGACCCUUCCCCACGGACCUUGCCUGAGCUACGCCACAGGGGGCCUGUGCCCGACCUUGCUGAUUCUGCCCUUGCCUUGCCCACCUGAUUUCCUGGCUUGCCCGUGACCUGCCUCGUCGCUAUGGGCUUGCUGGCAACUGCCAAAGUGUCAGCUGGCCCUGGUUACUGUCACCACUGUUAUGGAAAUUAGGCUUGUCGGCCACCAUAACAGGGCUCGACCCUAGGUUCCCGCAAGUAAAGUUCAGAGCCAAAUCAAAACAAAUUAAAUUUUAAUCACGCGCGUGCCAUAAUUACAGCUCGAGCUGGGUGCCUCCUAAGAGGGACCCUAACAUAAACAAAUC